rnacentral:rRNA from 1 species
AUGAACGCUAGCUACAGGCUUAACACAUGCAAGUCGAGGGCAGCAUGAACAUAGCUUGCUAUGUUUGAUGGCGACCGGCGCACGGGUGCGUAACACGUAUCCAAUCUACCAUGGCUCGGGGAUAGCCUUUCGAAAGAAAGAUUAAUACCCGAUGGUCUCGGUUUAAGGCAUCUUAGACUGAGUAAAGAUUUAUCGGCGAUGAAGGAUGGGGAUGCGUUUCAUUAGGUAGUAGGCGGGGUAACGGCCCACCUAGCCGACGAUGAAUAGGGGUUCUGAGAGGAAGGUCCCCCACACUGGAACUGAGACACGGACCAGACUCCUACGGGAGGCAGCAGUGAGGAAUAUUGGUCAAUGGGCGGAAGCCUGAACCAGCCAAGUAGCGUGAAGGAUUACUGCCCUACGGGUUUUAAACUUCUUUUAUGCGAGAGUAAUGUGCGCUACGUGUAGCGUAUUGCAAGUAUCGCAUGAAUAAGCAUCGGCUAACUCCGUG